rnacentral:rRNA from 1 species
AGUGAACGCUGGCGGUAGGCCUAACACAUGCAAGUCGAACGGCAGCACAGUAAGAGCUUGCUCUUACGGGUGGCGAGUGGCGGACGGGUGAGGAAUACAUCGGAAUCUACUUUUUCGUGGGGGAUAACGUAGGGAAACUUACGCUAAUACCGCAUACGACCUACGGGUGAAAGCAGGGGAUCUUCGGACCUUGCGCGAUUGAAUGAGCCGAUGUCGGAUUAGCUAGUUGGCGGGGUAAAGGCCCACCAAGGCGACGAUCCGUAGCUGGUCUGAGAGGAUGAUCAGCCACACUGGAACUGAGACACGGUCCAGACUCCUACGGGAGGCAGCAGUGGGGAAUAUUGGACAAUGGGCGCAAGCCUGAUCCAGCAAUACCGCGUGAGUGAAGAAGGCCUUCGGGUUGUAAAGCCCUUUUGUUGGGAAAGAAAAGCAGCAGGUUAAUACCCCGCUGUUCUGACGGUACCCAAAGAAUAAGCAACGGCUAACUUCGUG